rnacentral:tRNA from 1 species
AUAGAGGUGGCUCAGUGGUAGAAUCCUUGCCUUCCAUGCAGGAGACCUGGGUUGGAUUCCUGGCCAAUGUA